GCCCUGACCUCGCCUGAGGUCAGCGGUAAAGCAGGGAUCUUCGGAUCCUUGCACAGUCCGAUGGGCCCGCGGCGCAUUAGCUAGUUGGAGAGGUAAGGGCUCCCCAAGGCGACGAUGCGUAGCCGACCUGAGAGGGUGAUCGGCCACACUGGGACUGAGACACGGCCCAGACUCCUACGGGAGGCAGCAGUAGGGAAUCAUCCGCAAUGGGCGAAAGCCUGACGGUGCAACGCCGCGUGAGUGAUGAAGGUUUUCGGAUCGUAAAGCUCUGUUGACAGGGAAGAACCCACGCCAGUCGAACAGGCUGGCGUGCUGACGGUACCUGUCCAGAAAGCCCCGGCUAACUACGUGCCAGCAGCCGCGGUAAUACGUAGGGGGCAAGCGUUGUCCGGAAUUAUUGGGCGUAAAGGGCACGCAGGCGGUUUCGUCAGUCCGAUGUGACAGGCCACGGCUCAACCGUGGAAGGCCAUUGGAAACUGCGAAACUUGAGGACAGAAGAGGAGAGUGGAAUUCCACGUGUAGCGGUGAAAUGCGUAGAUAUGUGGAGGAACACCAGUGGCGAAGGCGACUCUCUGGUCUGUACCUGACGCUGAGGUGCGAAAGCAUGGGGAGCAAACAGGAUUAGAUACCCUGGUAGUCCAUGCCGUAAACGCUGAGUGCUAGGUGUUAGGGGUUUCGAUACCCGUAGUGCCGAAGCUAACGCAUUAAGCACUCCGCCUGGGGAGUACGACCGCAAGGUUGAAACUCAANGGAAUUGACGGGGNCCNGCACAAGNGGUGGAGCAUGUGGUUUAAUUCGACGC
rnacentral:rRNA from 1 species